ensembl:lncRNA
CAGACAGCAUCGUCAGAAGGAAAGUUGAUAAAAUAAAUUACAAAUUUUGUAUUGUUCUUUUUUUUUCUCCCCUUUGGUUUCUUUCUUCUCUCCCCCUCUUUCUUUCAUUCUUUCCCCCUGUCCUAUCCCACAGUCAUGUCUGUCCCGUUUGCAACUGAAAAUAAAAUAAAUUCAUAAUUAUAAUAAAGGUCAAUCAAAUGGACCAAUAUGAUGAUCCACUUAAAAUAAAUCCUCUUGGCAUCUUUCUUGGCCUCAAGACAACAAUUCUGAUGGCUAUAGAUCCAAACGGGACACAAAAAAAAAAAGUUCUCAAGAGAGGACAUCCUGGCCACUCCAAUUUAGCUCCAAAGAGGCAGGGAAUCACACAAAAAUAAGUUAAACUGAAAGAGGUUCUCAGGAGGCUAUGACCAUUACUUGCUGUCAGUUGUUGCAUUUCAGAGUCAGAUGGUGGUGUCAACACUGUAAGUCACAGGAUCAGGACAAAAAUCAAGUCAGUAGUUUAAUGAAAUGGUAUUUGAAAACCUCAGACAUGACACUGUACAGAUAGCUGUGCUGUCUUUAGCUUUGGACUUUACCAUUCCAUGAUGAUGCCUAAUCCUUUUCAACAUUCCCUCAGUGGAAAAGAUGGAAUUCAUACCGCUGCAGAAUUUAGGAAUGAGAUAGCGCGUGGUAGUGGAAAUAGUUUUGUUUGUUUGUUUGAUUGUUGUUGGGAUUUUUUUUACCUCAAAUUUUCCUUUCCUUUCCUUGAUGUUUUUUCUCCAUUGUGCACAUUUUAUACAAUAUGAGGAAAAACAAAGGAGUGUUUUAUGUGAACUGCUGACAGUUUGCCAUUGUUUCAGGUCUAAUGUUUCUUACAGACUUCUUUGCGAUGUUUUAAGACUAAGUGCCUCUCCUUUUAGAUAGAAAAAGAUGCAAUGUCACUGUUUUCUGAUGCAGCCACAUGAAAAUAGAUGUUGGAUUCAUUAUAUAUAUCUAGCUCUGCAGGAAAAUGUGUUGUAUAGAAAGCCUUAUCUGCAAGCAGAGUCAAUAUCUACACUUAAAAGACAGGAGUGAAAAAUUAAGUUCUGUUUUUUUUUCUAUGUGGUUGUUUUUGAUACCAUGUAGUCAUGUGGGUGGGAACUUAAGGAUCAGCAUUGUGGAAACGCUAUGCUGGGAUUUAAUUAUGAAAACGAUAAAUAUAUCAUUCAAUUUAAAUUAAAGUCAGAAACUUAAUUUGCAUGCUAAAAUGUUAGAACUGGUUAACUACCUGAUAUAACCUCUUUGUAUAUUUUUGGUAACGAUGUCACAGUGAGAGUCACAGUGCAAGUAUCUUAUUCAGGUGGUAGAGUGUGAUUGGUUGUGGCUGUUUACUACCCAAAGUAGCAAGGAUUGCUACUUUUUUUUUUUUAAUCCAUUUUUUGUCCAUUUAAAUGGACACAAGCUAUGUCUGUGACUGUAUGUCUGUGUGUGUCUGAGUGUGCGCGUAUCAGUUGUUGUUGAGAUACUUGACAUUUCUGGGUCAUUUUUUUCACCUUUUCACAUGUAUCAAAAAAAUUAUAUUGUAACAUCAUGCCCAGUAACUACUGUAUAAUGCAGUUUUACAGCAGUGAUCCAAUUUCUUUAGAAUAAUCAUUAGAAAAAAGGGCAGUACGGUGGCAUGGUGGUUAGCACUGUUGCCGCACAGCAAGAAGGUCCUGAGUUCAAUUCCACCAUCAUGAAUGAAUGUGAGUGCGAAUGGUUGUCUGUCCCUGUGUGUUGGCCCUGCGACAGACUGGCGACCUGUCCAGGGUGUACCCCGCCUCUCGCCCUAUGACAGCUGGGAUAGGCUCCAGCGCCCCCCGCGACCCUGAAAAGGAUAAGCGAAAGUGAAUGGAUGGAUGGAUGGAUUAGAAAAAAGGUCUUAUACCAGCCCCUAUCUUCACAGAGUAAAGAAAAUAAAAGAGGCAGAGUGAAUUACUUUUUCUUUGUUUCUUUUCACCGAAUUUCAUGUCUGUGCCUUGAGCACUUGAGCAUCAACUGUUGGAUUGAAUAUGGAGAAAGAUAUCAGUAUAUAUCUUUUCUGGUCAGAAGGAUAAACACCACUUUUAACCCUUAAUAAUGUAUCCAAUGUUUUUC